GACGAACGCUGGCGGCGUGCUUAACACAUGCAAGUCGAACGCUGAAGCACCAGCUUGCUGGUGUGGAUGAGUGGCGAACGGGUGAGUAAUACGUGAGUAACCUGCCCUUGACUCUGGGAUAAGCCCGGGAAACUGGGUCUAAUACUGGAUGCUACAUGUCACCGCAUGGUGGUGUGUGGAAAGGGUUUACUGGUCUUGGAUGGGCUCACGGCCUAUCAGCUUGUUGGUGAGGUAAUGGCUCACCAAGGCGACGACGGGUAGCCGGCCUGGGAGGGUGACCCGGCACACUGGGACUGAGACACGGGCCAGACUCCUACGGGGGGCAGGAGGGGGGAAUAUUGCACAAAGGGCGAAAGCCUGAUGCAGCGACGCCGCGGGAGGGAUGACGGCCUUCGGGUUGUAAACCUCUUUCAGCAGGGAAGGAGCCACAAGUGACAGUACCUGCAGAAGAAGCGCCGGCUAACUACGUG
rnacentral:rRNA from 1 species